rnacentral:rRNA from 1 species
GACGAACGCUGGCGGCGUGCCUAAUACAUGCAAGUUGAGCGCUGAAGGUUGGUACUUGUACCAACUGGAUGAGCAGCGAACGGGUGAGUAACGCGUGGGGAAUCUGCCUUUGAGCGGGGGACAACAUUUGGAAACGAAUGCUAAUACCGCAUAAAAACUUUAAACACAAGUUUUAAGUUUGAAAGAUGCAAUUGCAUCACUCAAAGAUGAUCCCGCGUUGUAUUAGCUAGUUGGUGAGGUAAAGGCUCACCAAGGCGAUGAUACAUAGCCGACCUGAGAGGGGGAUCGGCCACAUUGGGACUGAGACACGGCCCAAACUCCUACGGGAGGCAGCAGUAGGGAAUCUUCGGCAAUGGACGAAAGUCUGACCGAGCAGCGCCGCGUGAGUGAAGAAGGUUUUCGGAUCGUAAAACUCUGUUGGUAGAGAAGAACGUUGGUGAGAGUGGAAAGCUCAUCAAGUGACGGUAACUACCCAGAAAGGGACGGCUAACUACGUG